GACGAACGCUGGCGGCGUGCUUAACACAUGCAAGUCGAACGCUCAAGCUCAGCUUUUGUUGGGUGGAUGAGUGGCGAACGGGUGAGUAACACGUGAGUAACCUGCCCCCUUCUUUGGGAUAACGCUCGGAAACGGGUGCUAAUACUGGAUAUUCACUGGUCUUCGCAUGGGUGUUGGUGGAAAGGGUUUUUCUGGUGGGGGUUGUGCUCGCGUCCUAUCCGCUUGUUGUUGGGGUGAUGGCCUAACAAGGCUUUGACGGGUAGCCUGCCUGAGAGGGUGAACGGGAACAGUGGGACUGAGAUACGGCCCAGACGAGUAAGGGGGGGGGCAGUGGGGAAUAUUGGACAAUGGGAGAAAGAGUGAUGCAGCGACAGCGCGGAAGGGAUGGAGGCCGUCGGGUUGUGAACCUAGGGCGGAAAAGAUGAAGCCGCAACAAUGGUUGUGGUGAGGGUAGUGGGUAAAGAAGCGCCGGCUAACUACGUG
rnacentral:rRNA from 1 species